rfam:Aedes albopictus isolate Foshan contig73703, whole genome shotgun sequence.
CUCAAGUUAAUCCGUCAGCGAGGUAUAGAGUUCCUAUGUGUUCGCGUUGAGAUAUUCCAUAGGAACUUCAUACCGUGCUCUUGGAUUGCUUGGA